rnacentral:rRNA from 1 species
GUCUGGGAAACGUGCCUGAUGGAGGGGGAUAACUACUGGAAACGGUAGCUAAUACCGCAUAAUGUCGCAAGACCAAAGUGGGGGACCUUCGGGCCGUCAUGCCAUCAGAUGUGCCCAGAUGGGAUUAGCUAGUAGGUGGGGUAACGGCUCACCUAGGCGACGAUCCCUAGCUGGUCUGAGAGGAUGACCAGCCACACUGGAACUGAGACACGGUCCAG